ACUGUAGGAACUGGACAGAAUCUCACCUUCAAUGUGACUGAGUCCAGUGGCAGUGAACAGUACUACUGUGAAGCACAGAAUGAACAUGGCAAGGAGAACUCAACAACUGUACAGCUGAAUGUGAUAUACAUGCCUCAGAUCUCUGGCUCUGGGAGCUGCAGCAGAACUGCAGCAGAGAUCAGCUGCUCCUGUGAGAGCCGUGGGAAUCCCUCUCCCAGCAUGGAGUGGCAUGUGUCUGGACUGCGGGUCACUAACUCUACUGACAGAGUCAUCAGGGAGGAGCAGCUGGGGAACACAGGCCUGAGGAGCUCCCUCACCAUGCGCCAAUCACAGGGAGACACAUCCACUUUCCUCUGCAUCAGCACCAACACUCUCAGCUCCUCCAGCCUCCAGCUCCAUUUCCCGUCACCACAGCAACACGCAGGAUUCACUUGCAAUCCACUAUUACUUAUUAUAAACGUAGGACUGAUUUGUCUGUAUGUGCUGACUGUUGGAUUCUGUAUCCACAAAAAUAAAAGGUACAGUCAUCUUGAUCUUACUGCUGAUAAAAUAUAUCAUUACCAUAGUCUCUGACCAGAUACUGAGAGGCAAUUAUGCUUUCAGUAAAAUAUUUUAAAAGUUAAAACUAUCCCAUCCAGUAAAUGUAUGUGGCUUGCAGAGACAUGCUGGAUAAGCAGAGGCAAUAACACAUUCUCUCUCUACUCUGAUUUCCAUGCCUCCAGGUUGUCUAGAAGACUGAAGGUGAGUCUCACCAUCCUUUCCUCCUCUUCCUCUUCUGAAACACUCUGCAGCUCAGCCUGAUUUCACCUCUGUUUUACAUUCACACCAUCUGUGUGUCUUUUCCUUUAAUGGGAGGGAGGGACGGGGACACAUAUGCCAGUCUGCAGCUCCCCAACAUCAGCCCUGAAUAUGACGUGCUGCAGGUAAAAAACAAGCAUCAGAAACACACAGGGAGUACACAAGAUGAGAACGAUGAUUACCAGAACCCUGAAGAUGGAAACAGACCAGAUUCAGGGGCUAAUUCAAAAUAGCAAGGCUGAAGAUCAGAGAGGGCUCCCGUUCACAGAUGGAUAACGGCAUGAACUUCGGUCUAAACCCACAUGAGAAUAAUGUUCAGUUUUAAAGGGGCAGUUCACCCGAAAAUGAAAGAAAGCUACGUCUCAUCUUACCAGGACUGCUAUCUAUCCACCCAGAUAGUUUUUCUGAGAUUUGAUGUGGUGUUAAACUUUUAUGUUUUCCUCUAUCUUUCUCUCACUCUCUCAUCUCUCUAUCUUUUUCUCUCUCUCUCUUCCUCACUUAUUCAAAGCACUGUGCUUAUGCAUUUAUGAUGAAGAAAGUUUAUUUUUCAAAGUUAAUUGUACUUUUUUUAUUGGCAGAAUUUUAAAAGGGUCUGUUGAGUGAGAUAGACUGAAAGGACCUUUUACUGUCUUGCAAAGAAAGCUGGGGGAGAACAGGUCUUAAACAUAAGUGCAUUCCUUUUGCAGUCUUUUUGAAGUUGUAUAUAAAAUAACGGCAGGACUAAAUGAGGUAUGUGU